rnacentral:rRNA from 1 species
GACGGACGCUGGCGGCGUGCCUAAUACAUGCAAGUUGAGCGCUGAAGGUUGGUACUUGUACCAACUGGAUGAGCAGCGAACGGGUGAGUAACGCGUGGGGAAUCUGCCUUUGAGCGGGGGACAACAUUUGGAAACGAAUGCUAAUACCGCAUAAAAACUUUAAACACAAGUUUUAAGUUUGAAGGAUGCAAUUGCAUCACUCAAAGAUGAUCCCGCGUUGUAUUAGCUAGUUGGUGAGGUAAAGGCUCACCAAGGCGAUGAUACAUAGCCGACCUGAGAGGGUGAUCGGCCACAUUGGGACUGAGACACGGCCCAAACUCCUACGGGAGGCAGCAGUAGGGAAUCUUCGGCAAUGGACGAAAGUCUGACCGAGCAACGCCGCGUGAGUGAAGAAGGUUGUCGGAUCGUAAAACUCUGUUGGUAGAGAAGAACGUUGGUGAGAGUGGAAAGCUCAUCAAGUGACGGUAACUACCCAGAAAGGGACGGCUAACUACGUG